UACUACACCCUACCUUGGAGAGCUCGAGGAGGUGGAGGAGGAGCUGAGCUGAGCAGAGCUAAUAGGCGAUGGAUUUCCAGGCGCCGGCCGGUGAUGACCGCCGGAGCACCGACCUCAACAAGCAGGCCGUGGACGAGCAAUCUCCUCAGCAAUCGGCGGCCGAUGGCAAGGCCAAGGCAGGUGCUCCAUGCCUCUACUUCAAGAAAGGCACGUGUGCGGGAGGAAACAUGGGGCAUGAUGCCCAUGGCCAUGCGCCACACUUUGCUGCAAGUCAUGCUCACUGAGCCUACCGUAUAGCAGCAGCAAAGAGAAUACUACGUAUUACAAUAAAUACUACGUACUUCCACUUUCUAUUUCUGUUAUGAACCACCGUGUAUGUGUGGUCCUUGUGGUUGCGGUUACGGUCUCCCGGGCUCCUCAACUUCGUGGUUGUCCGGCGUAGAUUCCUGCCAGCUCCUCGGGGCGGUGAGGUUAGGGUAUUCUUGUCGUGCGUGUGCGACGGCGAGAUUUGGUGUCGGGUUCAUGGGCUUCAACGGCGAUGACUGCGGCUUCAGAGCGGGCACAUGUCAUUAGGGGCGUGUGCAUAAAGACUUCUCAGUUGUCAUCGAUAAGAUCGGGCCGGCUCCGGUGUGGACAGUGGUCGUUCGUGGGCCAGCUACCUUCAUGUAAUGUUUAUUAUGUUUGGGGUGCUUUGUACUUCAUGUGAACCUUUACAAUAAAGAUCUACUUUUACAAGAAUAAA